GAGUUUGAUCCUGGCUCAGAACGAACGCUGGCGGCAUGCCUAACACAUGCAAGUCGAGCGCCUGUAGCAAUACAGGAGCGGCGCACGGGUGAGUAACGCGUGGGAACCUGCCUUGAGGUUCGGGACAACCGCGGGAAACUGCGGCUGAUACCGGAUGAUGUCUGAGGACCAAAGAUUUAUCGCCUUGAGAGGGGCCCGCGUCGGAUUAGGUAGUUGGUGAGGUAACGGCUCACCAAGCCUGCGAUCCGUAGCUGGUCUGAGAGGAUGGCCAGCCACACUGGGACUGAGACACGGCCCAGACUCCUACGGGAGGCAGCAGUGGGGAGUAUUGGACAAUGGGGGCAACCCUGAUCCAGCAAUGCCGCGUGGGUGAUGAAGGCCUUCGGUUGUAA
rnacentral:rRNA from 1 species